rnacentral:rRNA from 1 species
GGGGGGGGGGGGGGGGGGGGGGGGGGGGGGGGGGGCGGGGGGGGGGGGCGGGGGGGGCGGGCUUGUGGGGGGGGGCGCCCGGCGCCGGGGGGGGGAGCGCGUGUCCGACCGGCCCACCACUCGGGAAUCACCUUGCGCACGUCAGACUAAUACCCAAUGACGUCCCCCGAAGACCUCUGAAUGGGAUUCAUGCUCUAGCGGUGCCGGAUGGCGAGGCGUCUGAUUCGCUUGGUGGCGGGGUAACGGCCCACCAAGGCAACGCUCAGUAGGGGUUCUGAGAGGAAGGUCCCCCAGAGUGGAACUGAGACACGGGCCAAACUCCUACGGGAGGCAGCAGUGAGGAAUAUUGGUCAAGGGGCGAGAGCCUGAACCAGCCAAGUAGCGUGCAGGAGGACGGCCCUAUGGGUUGUAAACUGCUUUUAUAAGGGAAUAAAGUGGGUCUCGUGAGACUUUUUGCAUGUACCUUAUGAAUAAGGACCGGCUAAUUCCGUG